UACGGAGGGUGCGAGCGUUGUCCGGAAUCACUGGGCGUAAAGGGCGCGUAGGUGGCGCGGGCAGUUAACGGUGAAAGUUCGGGGCUCAACCCUGAAUCGGCCGUCGAUACUCCCGGGCUUGAGCACUGUAGAGGCUAAUGGAAUUCCGGGUGUAGCGGUGGAAUGCGUAGAGAUCCGGAAGAACACCGGUGGCGAAGGCGGUUAGCUGGGCAGUUGCUGACACUGAGGCGCGACAGCGUGGGGAGCAAACAGG
rnacentral:rRNA from 1 species